rnacentral:tRNA from 1 species
AGGGGUAGAGCUCAGUGGUAGAGCGUGUGCUUAGCAUGUAUGGGUUCAAUCCCCAGUACCUCCA